UUACCUUUUAAGUUCAAACAUUUCAUGUGAUUUUGAAAGCCUCCUUACUUUACAGCAUCUUUUCCAAUGUGCCUCUUUUCACUGUAGUGUAUUUGCAUGUACAGUAUGUGUGUGUGUGUGUGUGUGUGUGUGUCUCUCUCUCUCUCUUUCCCUCUUUCUCUUUCUCUCUCUCUCUCUCUAUAUAUAUGUGUGUGUGUGUGUGUGUGUCUCUCUCUCUCUCUCCCUCUCGCUCUAUACAUAUAUUUAUAUAUGUGUGUGUAUGUGUGUAUGUGUGUGUGUGUGUGUGUGUGUAUAUGAUUCAUUGAUUGUAUGGCAUGUUUAUUUGUUAGUUAACAUCUUGCCUGUUGCAGGGGUCUCACCAUGACCAAGCUACUAUUCAUCUCAGCCUUCAUGGCAGUACUUGUCAUCAGUGUGGUGGGUUUUCGUGUCCCAAGGCGUGCUGAGUGGGUUCCCCACGUGCAUUCAAUAUUUGACCAGACCAUGGACCUGGUUGGCCAGAUAGUUGGAAAAGAGAACCUUCAAACUGCUGUAGAUACAACAACUGAAACAACAGUCCGUCUGGCCGACGCAACAGCUAAUCUUGCAGAGAAAAUUUUCAAAGCUCUCUUUACAAACUAACGGCUUCACUGUCUGUGACCUCUCCAUCUGCGUGGAAUGAACACGCUCAUCAGUCUUUUACGAAGUCCAACCAUUGUGUGGAAGCUUAACUGACCAAGAACAAAAGGAGUUUUGUCUCUCUUUACUUGUGUACUAAAAAUUAUCUGAUAAACUGCAGGGUGGCCAUUUUUCUUUGACUCUUGAAAUGUACCAUCCCACAUUCAAUCCCACAUUCAAUUAACAUGAGAGGCAAUGAGAGAGGUCUGGGGCGAAUUCUAUUUCACCCCAAAAUCGGGCGGGACCAUUUGAUGCACGACUUUAGCCUGAUUGGACAAUGACAUUCAGAGGCAGAUCAGACGGUCUAGUGGUAAAAUGGGACAGAAAAAAAUAACAUCUCCUUCUUCCGCUUGGCAGUGCGUCGCCCAAAUCGCCCUUAUGGACAAACCGCCCCUGUCCUACAGUAAUAAACAUCUUUCUUGAUUGGUAAAGUUCA
rnacentral:lncRNA from 1 species